rnacentral:rRNA from 1 species
UACGGAGGAUGCAAGCGUUAUCCGGAAUGAUUGGGCGUAAAGCGUCCGCAGGUGGCCGUUCAAGUCUGCUGUCAAAGACCGAGGCUUAACUUCGGAAAGGCAGUGGAAACUGAACAGCUAGAGUAUGGUAGGGGCAGAGGGAAUUCCUGGUGUAGCGGUGAAAUGCGUAGAGAUCAGGAAGAACAUCGGUGGCGAAGGCGCUCUGCUGGACCAUAACUGACACUCAGGGACGAAAGCUAGGGGAGCGAAUGGG